AUGUGUGCCUUUCUGCGUGACAUCUGUCACCCUAUUGAUCGCCAGAGAUGAUUUGGCUGGCCAGGCAGAUGUACCUUCCUGCCUUACUGCUCCAGAGGUAUCCCUCUGGAAGUUGUGGGAUCUGUUGAAGAGGAAGACCUCCCUGAAUAGAGGAGGACAAGAGAGUUCUUUGCUCAAGGGUAUACCAAUAGCUGCGCUCCUCUGCUGGCUGGAACCUCCAAGCAAACAUCAGAUCUCUAGGCAGGUUUUUUUU
rnacentral:sRNA from 1 species